GUGUACUAACUGUUUAAUGAGAAAAUAGUUGUUCUGUAAACAUUCACCUAAAGUACAAUUUAAAAAAAAAAUUAAAAAAGAGGUAGAGUCUGUUCUCCUCCCUUUGACUCUUGACUAGUCCUCUGACUUAUUGUGGCCCAUAGAAUGUGGUAGAUGUGAUGCUGUGUUACUUCAGGCAUAGACCUUUAGAGACCUUGCAGCUUCAGCUGCCAUGUGAAAGAGGCUUAAGCUAGACUACUGAGUGAGAAGCCACAUGGCAGAGAAGUAAGGCGCCCCAGCCAACAACCAUCAUCAAGACCUAGAUGUAUGAGUGAGGUCCUCUUAUAGAUCCUCUAGCCCCAGCUGAGCCAGCAUGUGCAACAUCAUGUGACUGAGCCCUGCUCAAAUUCUUGAACCACAAAAUUGUGAGCCAAUAAAAUGAUUGUUGCUUUAAGCCACUAAGUUUUGGGAUGGUUUGUUACGCAGCAUUAUAUAACUGAAAAAAUUUGAGAAUAUAAGCAAAACUUUUUACUGGGAUAGAUGAAAGGGAAAAAAUAUCCUUUACUAUAGGAUGUUAAUAAAGAACUGUAGUUAAAUAAUACUACAGUUGUAUGCUUGAGUUCAUGGUUCAUGUGGUUCAUCUGAAAAAUCACAUAGCUAUUCUUAUAAUUAUAAAAAAUAAUGCAGGCUUAAUGGAGAAAAUUUAGAAAAGGGUAGAAAAUUCUAAAGAACAGUGUUUAAAUUACUCAUACUUCUACCAUCUAGCAAUAAUCACUAUGAGUUCUGUUUUAUAUUAUUUCUAAUAUAAUCUUAUUUUAUAAAACUAUAAAAAACGUAGAGCCAUAUAUGUGGAUGUAUAAACCCGAUGUGAUUACAUUGGGGAAAGUGAAGCCUACACUGGCUCUUUGCUGUAGUCCCGGAAGUGGUACUUAAUUUCUUACAAAUUGUCGAAAGGGGCAUAGGCAGAGCUAAAACUGAUGCAAUUGUUGUUUUUCAGGCAAUUAAAAAUAAAAUUCAAAAAAUUAAAAUUUAAUGUAAUUUUUGAUGUCAUUUAUUCCUAAUGCUUUAAAAGAAUUGAAACUAAUGUCCUGGCCCUGUAAAAUCUGUUAAUAAAAUUGAUGGUCAGCUCUUUAUUUAGAAGAACCAGAGGGCAGAUGAAUGUGUUAGUGUGUUUAGAUUCCUUUAAGAGCCCUUAGUGGCCUAUCAUAUUGACUCUUCAUUAAAACACACUCAGCUGCCUUUUAAUAAACCCUCAAAUUGUUGCCAUUAUUUAGACUUCAGCUAGAAGGCUGCUUGAGUGCCCUAGUGCCUGACUGAAAUCCUAAGUUAUAUUUAGCAUCAUUAAAAAAAAAAAAAGAAGAAAUUCUGAUUGUUUUAGGACCUAUUAUUGCUUGGAAUGAGCUAAUCUAAGCAAAUAAUAUAUAGGAAAUAGAAGACUAGAGGUGAUUUUGAGGACUUUUUUUUAUUUCAACUUUUCACUGCAGCCCUGGUAGUGCAGUGGUUAAGAGCUAUGGUUGCUAACCAAAAGGUUAGCAGUUCGAAUCCACCAGCCUCUCCUUGGAAACCCUGUGGGGCAGUUCUACUCUGUCCAGUAGGGUUGCUAUAAGUCAGAACCGACUUGACGGACAACAGAUUUGGUUUGAUUUUUUGGAAUACCCAGUGAGCAGACACACUAGAGCAGCAAUUCUCAACCCAGUUGACCUGAUAUCUCCUUUUUUGUAGAACAUAUAUAUUGUAAUCUCCUUUACUACCUUGAUGUGAAGUUCAUAGAUUACAUAAACUAUAUACACAUAUAAUUUUUUUUUUAAAAAACGAAUAUAAUGGCCUAACUAUAACAUAAAAGAGAAAUAUAAGGGAAGUAAUUUCCAAUAGGAAUUUCUGGGUAGUACAAACAGUUAAGGUGCUUGGCUGCUAACUGACAAGUUGGAGGUUCAAGUCCACCCCGAGGCACCUUGGAAGAAAGGCCUGGUGAUCUACAUCUAGAAAAUCUGCCAUUGAAAACUCUAUGGAGCACGGUUCUACUCUUAUAACACGUGGGGUCACCAUGAGUCGGAAUCGACUUGAUGACAACUGGUUAUUUGCAACAAAAUAAUGUACUUUUUAUUCUGGUUCUAGUAAUGGCAGAGUAGCUUGUGUCAAACUAACCCUCCCACAGAUAACAGUUAUAAACUCUGGUUUAAAUCUUUAUUCCCACCGCAUACACACACACAAACACAAACGUGUUAUCCUUUGUGUGGAAGUUAGGGGUCUGUAACAUGGAAAUGAUAGUCCUGAAUUGCUUGGUUGCUUGCUUAGUUCAAGUCUCUGCUAAAAAGAGGUCUUUCCUGACUGACUCCCUGAUACAAACGAGCAAACCUCCUAAUGCCCUGUACUUCUCAACCUUUUCAACUAAGACCUUUCCUCCUGUAGCUCUUAGUACUGUUUGAUAUUACAUGUAUAUUUUUUAUUGUCUCUUCUCCCACUAAAACAGAAGCUCCAUGAGGGUAAGGAAUGUUCCUCUUUUGUUCAUCACUCAGCACCUAGAACAGUGCCUGGAAUAUAGUAGGUGCUCAAUAAAUUUCAGUUGAACAACUGUCUUAGCUGGUGCUGCUGUAACAGAAAUACCACAAGUGGAUGACUUUCAAGAAGAGAAAUUUAUUGUCUCAUGGUUCAGGAGGCUAGAAGUCUGAAUUCAGGGCCCCGGCUCUAGGGGAAGGCUCUCUGUCUGCUUUGGGGGAAGAUCCUUGUCUCUGUUAGCUUCUGUAGCCUCUGUGUUCCUUGGCAAUCUUCAUGUGGUGUCUAUCCCCCCCAUCCCCUUUGUGCUUCAUCUGUGUCUGUUGUUGCAGUUGAGUCCUCUCUAUCUAAUCUACUCUUUUUAUAACUCAGAGGUGAUUAGGUUUAAGACACACCCUACAUUGGUACGUCCUCAUUAACAUAAUAAAGAAAACCGUUUUCCCGAAAGGGAUUGUACCCACAGGUGUAGGGGUUAGGUGCCUUCUAGUCGAUUUCAAUUCAUAGCAACCCUGUGUAACAGAGUAGAGCUCACCAUAAGGGUUUUUUAGGCUGUAAUCUUCAUGGGAACAGAUCGCCAGGUCUUUCUCCCGUGGAGCCACUGGGUGGGUUUGAACCACCAACCUUUUGGUUAGCAGCCACCAGGGCUCCUUAACACAUAUUUUUUGGGGGCACAAUUCAAUCCAUAAUGAAAUGAAUCCUCUAUUUCUUCCUCUUGUUCUAUCAUUCCUCAGCAGAAAGGGCCUGUGAAUAGCUGAAGUGUGGGCAACAGUCAAAAAAUGUCUCCCUCAUCAGGCCAUCAUUGAGCCCAAAAAUUCCCUCUGAUUAGUCUCUUUCCCUUGUUCCUCUAGAUUAGAAAGUCUCUUUUGAAGUGAAAUGAUGUAUUAGAUGAAGAGACUCACCACCUGUAACUUUUUCCUGUCACAUUCAGGUUUUUAGACUACCCCUCUUGAUCUGGCAAUAUGUAUAUUAAAUGCCAUUUCAUUCAAGCAGUGAGGCGGAAAGCUGAGCGAUUAUCAACUUGGAUGUCAUUUAAAGAUUCUGAUUCAGGACUAAUUGCUGCUUGACCUCUUGGAGUGAUCACACUUAUUACUGUUAUAUCAUAUUCAAUACUUUGAGUUGUUUUUGUAACCCUUAAAAUUUCUAAUUAGAAGUAUUUCUCUAAAAUGAGAUACUGUGGUGUGAAAUUUUGUUGCCACACAUUCAAAGUAAGUCAAAACCUUGAAAGUCUAAUCCUGAAAAUAUCGACAAAAGAAGUUUUUAGAAAACAUUCUCCCCCUGGGGUAAGAGUAUUUUUACAUUUUAUUCAUAGAUGAUUUUUUAGAAAAAAUUACGCAUUUCUUUUCCUGUCUAUACUUCUGGCGCCAUGUAUUUCUGUAGUAGUGACAUCAGUAGGGUUUGUAGCCCCCCCAAAAAUAGGUAGAUCCCAUUUCUAAGUCCAGCUGAAAAUGAUUUCUCAAUAGCGCCAGCUUACAUCCAUCACGAACAUACACAUACACACCCCAAACAUAUUAUAUCUGAAAUUUAGCAUGAUUGCACCUGUUAAAGCUGAUAUUGUUAAUAACAGUAUUCUCAUCUGUUCUCUCUUAUUCCAUGCCUGGACAUGAUGGGCUUUUAAGCUUUUCAGGUGGGCAGACCAACUAUACUUCCUGCCUUUCAAAGAGUCACAUGUGAUAGAGAACACAUUUCCAAAAUUCAAGCCAUAUAUCAGAUCCUUGUUUUCUUUGGUCAGGCAUAUUCUUUUAGAAUACAUUUAUAUUAAGAAUAAAGACACUUAUGUUACCAUCUAAAUUAGUUUUUUUCUUGUCAAAACAGUCUUUCUUUUAAUGAAACGGUUCUUUGUCUUUUGAGGGGAAGCAAUGAGAGAUUAAAGGCAUUCUUUUGGAGAUCUUUCAGGUGAAGAGAAGAAUCUGGAAUUGCUCUUGGAUGAAUUAUUAUAGACCUACAAAAGUCAAAAGUAAAUUUUAAGAAGUUUUUUAAAAAGGCAAAUAUUAGUCCCUUGAAACAUGGAGAUGUUGACAGAUGACUGGUAUUUUGUACCUAAAAAUCGUUCGCUGUGCUAAGUUAUCUGGGAUUCAUAUUCACUUUUUCUAGAGGUGAGUGUAUCUUAUUACAGACGGCAGGAAGCAUUGUAUCGCCAACAGAGUUGUCUUCACCAGUAGGCACUGAUGGGAUUGAUGCUUAUGAAAGUGUUGUAUACCAUCUCUUUGGAGGCAUGAGUUGUGGGAAGUAACGAACAGAUGUUUGAUGUGUCAAUCAGAGUAUUAGGUGCUGGGACAGAUACAAAGCAAACUAAAACAUGGCUCUGGACCCAAAGUACACAUUAAAAGGUCAACACUUCUUGGCAUGGUUGGGAACCAGAGGCUGCUUAAACAAGCUCAGCAAAUUUAAACCUAAUUGAAAAGUCAUUUAGGACUUUUUUUUUUUUUAAUUGAUUUUGCAAGCUACAGAACAUAACUCAAUCUGGCUUAAUCAAAAAGAGAAAUUAUUGACUCAUGUAUCCAAAAAUCUAGAUGUAAUUUGGUCUAAAAGCUCAAAUGGUUUACCAUUAGCUGUUGUUUUUUUUUUUUCCUUUUUCUCUCAACUCAACUUUCUUUGUGUUCACAUUAUCUUUACUCUUGUGGUGGCAAGAUGGCCUCAACAGCUACAGCUUUACAUUUUCCAUCUUUGAGUCCAGCAGGAAAAUGUCUCUUCCUCUAACAGUAUGAAUAAAAGUCUUGGGCCUGAUUGUCACUGGCCCAUAGUGGGUCCUGUGUUUGUCCCUGGAGCAAUUGCCACGUCCAGGGGAAUGGAAAGUGCUUAUUGCUUGGGGACUGUUUAUAUGUUCCACUUCUGGGACAGGGCUAGGAAUCAGAGAGGGGCUUUCCCCAGGUGAGAAUACUGGGCACUAUCACCAGAUGUAGCUGAAUAGAGGCUGAGCAGCAAGAACAGCAGGUGUAUGUCGCAGGUAAAUAGGACUAAUACCAGAGGGUAUUAUUACUUGACAUUAAACAGUUAAGAAGUAGUUAUAUGAUUAUGUCAUUAAAUGUACUUUAGGAAUUGAGAGAAGGACAUAAGUGAGGGCUGGAGUGAUUUGGGCAUUGAAACUUCAUUGAGCACAGAUGGAUAUGAACUUGGCCUUUAAGGAUGGGUAGGAUUCUUAGUUGGAUUCUCCCAAGAUACCAGUGAGGAAUGCCUAGUUUUGUCAGAAUUGAUGAUGUCCACUCCAGCCCUUUGUGACUAUCUGGUGGAAUGAUGCAACGGUAUAUAAUAGAGGUGACCCUUAAGGCUGACACAAGGAACACAGAACUUGAACAAAUUGUAGAUGUGACAAAAAGCUUGGGAGUCAUUCAGCAAUAGUAAAAAAUAAAUAAAUUAUGGUACAGAUACAUGUUAGACUCUUUCUAGCCUGUUAGCCAUAUCUUCAU